UUCAUUUCAGUAAUCAGCUGUUGAAAGUUAAGGUUUGUUAUUCUUUUUUGUUUACAAUUUUUAAUUUUAUAAAUAUGAAAAGCGCAAUAGUUUCCUGAGAAAAACAUAUUGCAGAUUUCUUGUGAAUCGCAGCUCCGUAUUUUACCGGGCGAAGUGUCGGCUGAUUGCUUAGACGGCACGCACGUACUUUGAAUCCCAUUAAUCAAUCAAAAUGUAUCAAUCAGGCAGCUUAAUUGCACACAUGCACGCUGGAAUAAAGAUUUUCGUUGCAUUUGGCCACUGCGUGCACCAAUUGAAACUCCAAAUGCAACCGAAGCACAACGAAAUUGGGGGAAAACCAGAAUAGGAGGCGGAAGAAACUGGGAGGCUUGUUGCAGCCCCAGUUGUAAAAAACCCUUUGAACCCUCAUUGACUGGAGCCAAAGACUUUUGUCAAUGGUUAUCCCACACAGAACUGGAAAAGGAGCAGCAUGGGGAUAUAUGGGCUAUGCAGGACUGAAUAUCCAGGAGUAAAAGGUCGACCAAAAAGGUAAACCUCUUUAGUUGCGCAACUGGCUUCCAAACACCCAACCGCCAAAGUCUUUAAAAAUUAAACACGCGCAACAAAGAGUCGCUUAAAAAGUUGUUCCAAAAAAAAAAAACAAAAAUUUGUGGGCGAAAAGUGAGCGCGUUUUAAUUUGUUUUUACAGGGCAUAAAAUGAAAAUCACCUGAGAGCAGGAGCCAAGCAUUUUGGGGGCGUUUAAAAUGCAAAGUUAAUAUGGGUUGAGGACAUGUGGCUUGUGUAAAUAUUUUUUCUUAAUUAGGCCGCACCAAAACACAAAAAAAGCUGCAAGUUUGCCCAAAAGCGCGUGAAAAGUGCCAAGCUCAUUUUGUAAAAUAAACAUAAGCAUUCCAUUAAGACCACAUAAGUGUGUGUUUUCCUUAGAGAAGCGUUAUAAAUGAGAUAAGAUGUAAUGUUUAAAAUGUAAAUUCUCUCCCGCUUUAAAACAAGUUAACAUUUAAUCUUUAACUUCGUUAUGGUCAGGAAUGGCGAUAUAUUUUUAAUUUCAUCAAUUCGAUUAACAAUAAAACGUCACAAAGGCAAGAAAUCAAAAGAGAAAUAUGCAAUCACGCUGAAAAUAUUUGCAUACGCUCAAACCCCCGAAACUCUCCUUUUUUCAACCGGAAACGGAAGUAAACAAUGGCCAGCGACCCGGCGCAAAAAGGCACAGACUCCACCGUUUCCCCCCUUCCCCCGAAAAUAACCGAAAGCGUUCCAAUAAAAAUGCAGCGAACAAUAACGAAAAGAGCUGAAACCCCAAUAAAAAACCCAGAACCAAAGAAAUAAGUCAAGGCAAAAAGGAAGAAGUGCCCCGCCAUUGAUGAUGAAAAAUCGAAAAUGGAUGCUCGUUUUUGGAUUGCCCAUCCAUUGUUGUUGGCCCGGCGAACGGAACUUCAAAAAAUGGGAAAAAAGUCAAAUGAAAAUGCUGAAGACAAUAAAAGGAAAACGCUUUCCACGAUGGGAAAAGGCUAACUGUACUGGAGGGGGUAUUGCAAAUUAUAUGAUGACUAAAGAAAUGUGUGUGCGAACGCCAUUGUUCCUGUCAAACAAAAUACAAAAAUGGCGGGGUUUCCUCUGUGUUUUUUUGUUGACUGUCCUUUAACUGGUUAUGCCAUAAAAAAAUUGCAGUUUGAUGGCGAAAUAUAAAGUCUCAUAUAAAUAAUAAUAAAAAGACUAAUUUUAAAUUGCAACAUUUAUGUUGGACUUAAAAGAUUAAAAAUAUUUUAAGUUUAGCGCAUUUGUGGAAUUCGUUUACUUGUUUUUGUCAUUAUUUAUGUUAUUUAUACCAGAAUGUAAUCUGCUUAAUCCUGUAUUAUUCCAUUUAACAUAAAACAUUAUACAUUUUCGCAUAUUUAGCAUUUAUUACGAGCUUUAAAUUUAUCAAUAUUAAAUGAGUAUCCGAUGUCAAUAUCAGGUUAAUAUGACUCAAAGUGUAAUUUCUUGUUGUACCUUAAUAAUAACUUUAUUUAACAUCAAAUAUAACUCGAUUGCAAAAUACAAGCCAGUGAUAUUAAACUCAAACGAAAAUAAGUCAAUUAAUUAAAACGUAUCUUAAUUAUGCUUGACUAAGGAAAGAUACGUUUUCCAUUCGCAAUAAGAGCAAAAUCUGUGUAAAAUUGCAAUAAUAAUUUGCAUAUAGCAGCACCAAAGAUUGCACAUAUUUAUAUUUUGCCCAUAGCUGUUUUGGCCAGAGAAUGGAACUCAGGCAGUAGAUACAGAAUCAGAUACGUACUGAUAGAUAAAUAGUGUUUAUAGGUUGGACAAUAUUUGCAUGCUCUGCUACUGUCGAGAUAAAUGCUGUGCGAUAAGCUUCGCUCUUGGAUUCGUUUUGCAAUUCAAAUUGCCAACCUCGAUGGAUUUUUCAGUAUCGCGAUGCAAAGCUGCGAACAAGAUGUGGCCAAUACGAUAAGCGAGUAUCAGAAAUUGAGCUUAAUGUCACGGAUUGACAAGGAAACUUUGGAGUGGCAUGAACAAACUGUUCGACACUUAUACCAUUUGUAAUCAAUAUAUCCAUUAAACAUUAUGAUAUUAAUCUUAUAAUUGUGUUAUUUAAUUUACAGCCCCACUCAACUCUUUAUUCCAUCAAUUAACUAGUUUCAUGUAUUAUAGUACGACUUAAAGCCAUUGGCCGGGCAAGUUGAUAAAGCCCGGAAAUAUGAACUUGAGUGUCCAUCUAGAUAAUGCAUCACUGGUCGUAUUCCGCUCCAUCCGGCUGGAUUGUUGGCCAACAACAGCUGCUGCAGCGCAUCCAUCAAAAAGCAGGAACAGAAGCUUCCAGCGGGGCCAAAAACAAAGGCACACAAUCCAGGGAACAUCAGUCAAAAAUAUGUGCUGGUUCCAGGCUUUCGGCUUUCAGAGCACCCCGAGCUGAUGAGCUGAACCCUUGUGUCCUCCCAAAGGAAAUUGAACGCACUUGAAUCGCAUUCACUCCAAACUGGGCGAAUGACUAUGCCAGGGGGUUCUUCGAAAGCGAUUACUUGCCUUCGGCGAACAAAAGCCCGGAGAAGUCGCAUCUCAUUGGUUCCUACACUUAGAGAAAAAAACGCUCUCAAUUUUUCUCGAUUUGAGAAUUUGAAUCUCAUAAUUUAGCCAGGAUCGAAUCAUUGGUUCUUGGAUUAAAAGUGACUUUGGUCUCAUUUGUGUUUCUAUCUCAUUUUUUGUAGACCUCCAAUUUUUCUAAGUGUAAUUGGUGCCAGAAACGGGAAUCCUUCCUGAAUCUGCCUUUCUGGAAGCUAUAGAUGCCAUUAGUUGGUUGGGAUUUGGUUUCAUCAAGCUAUGCAGUUGUUUUUUGGUAUUAACAAAUGCGAAAUGAUCAGUCUUAAUUAAAAAGUUUGAAGUAUUACAGGGUAAUUUUUCAUCCUUUGAAAUUAUAUAUUUAGAUAUAUUUAUUUACCCAACUAUCUUCAAACUCCCUCUCCUUGCAAGCAUAGAUAUCUUGAUGAAGCCAAUUUUUACAGGCAAUUAAUUUCUGCUAAAUAAUCUAGUUGUAGGUUUUUAUGACUAUUUCAUUUUAAUGUUUAAAUGUGCAGGAGUAAUUUCCUUUUCGUCAUCUGACAACUUUCGAUUUCGAUUUUAGAAAGUGGCUGGACGUCUGUUUUCCAUACCAACCUUUCGCCGGCAAAUUAAAUGCGAGUUACGUCAAUUUUUAUGCAACUGAAGUUUUCAUUUCAUUUUACCUUACUUUACAUGUUUUAUUUUCUUUCUCCUUUGUUCCAUCUCGC